rnacentral:rRNA from 1 species
GACGAACGCUGGCGGCGUGCUUAACACAUGCAAGUCGAACGGAAAGGCCCUGCUUUUGUGGGGUGCUCGAGUGGCGAACGGGUGAGUAACACGUGAGUAACCUGCCCUUGACUUUGGGAUAACUUCAGGAAACUGGGGCUAAUACCGGAUAGGAGCUCCUGCUGCAUGGUGGGGGUUGGAAAGUUUCGGCGGUUGGGGAUGGACUCGCGGCUUAUCAGCUUGUUGGUGGGGUAGUGGCUUACCAAGGCUUUGACGGGUAGCCGGCCUGAGAGGGUGACCGGCCACAUUGGGACUGAGAUACGGCCCAGACUCCUACGGGAGGCAGCGGUGGGGAAUAUUGCACAAUGGGCGGAAGCCUGAUGCAGCAACGCCGCGUGCGGGAUGACGGCCUUCGGGUUGUAAACCGCUUUCGCCUGUGACGAAGCGUGAGUGACGGUAAUGGGUAGAGAAGCACCGGCUAACUACGUG